AUGCUUGCUUCGGCAGCACGUGUACUAAAAUUGAAAUGAUACAGAGAAGAUUAGCAUGGCCCCUAUGCAAGGAUGACAUGCAAAUCCAAGUACAUAUUUCACUUGUCU
ensembl:snRNA U6 U6 spliceosomal RNA